rnacentral:rRNA from 1 species
AGCGUUGCUCGGAAUCACUGGGCGUAAAGCGCACGUAGGCGGAUUGUUAAGUCAGGGGUGAAAUCCUGGAGCUCAACUCCAGAACUGCCUUUGAUACUGACGGUCUUGAGUCCGGGAGAGGUGAGUGGAACUGCGAGUGUAG